AACAUGCUUCCUUAGAUCCACCUUUGUGGAUGAAUCUUGAUCUGAGUUCUACUUGUGAACUUCUGUUUCUUGUAGUUCCAGUCAAAGAAACAUCCAGCAACUUUUUGGUUGUACAGUCAAAGGUGCUUGAGUCAUUGGCAUGUGAGAUGAAUAUACCUGCAUGUUAGUCUAACGUUCUGAUAGAAAUGACAUGCUGUCAUCCUCUACUCUCAGGACUCGACUGGUGUGCGGACAUU
ensembl:snoRNA Gm24119 predicted gene, 24119